UUGACUUUUUUCUCAAGAUUGCUUCAACCUCAAACAUAAAUGCUUCUUUCCUUUUGUACAAAAAAAAAUUAUGUAUAUCUACUUAUUAAUUUUGCCCCUUAUAAAUAGCUAUGUUUUCCCCCAUUGUGGUACUAAGUUAUAUACUCUAAGCAUAUAUCCAGAAAGAAUAAGUUUUAAAUGGAGUUUCCCAAGUUUUUGGUUGUUUUCCUUCUCUUAGUUGUUCCAUUUUCAACUGCAUCAAAUCCUCUUGGUACCACAAAUGAUGUAGAGAGGCCAUUUUGCUUUAAGACAUGCACGCCUGACUUUACAUCGGAAGAUUGCCAAUUUGAUUGCAAAGGCCGAGGGUUUGACUAUGGAUCAUGUGAUAGUAAUCGUUGUUGUUGUCGUCACAACGAAGCUAAUGUAUUAAAUCUGCAUAUUUAAAAAUUUAUAAUAAACUAUGUCAGCUUAUAUGGUUGGA